GCUGGAGCUCGGCAAUUGAGAGGCAGCGUUGGCAGAGUAAGCAUCUUCUUGCUUGCAGUGGGCCAGAUGGGUGUCCAGAAGCCAAGACGCAAGCAUCCCUACACAGGAGAGAGAGCAUAAUCACGCCUGGAGUCUGUUCCUUCCCGGAACUGGGCUCCAUGAUUGAUAGAGAUAAGGGAUGGGGGGCAGAAAGUCCCAACCAGCACCCCAGAUCUCCACAGGAAGCCGUAGAACACUACAGCUACUUGUGAUGGUUUGUAUAUGCUCGGCCCAGGAAGAGGCACU
ensembl:lincRNA Gm42808 predicted gene 42808